AUGGCGGGGCGUUGGCGGGGCGGUGGCAUGGGGAUCGCCGAAGAAAAAGCUCGGCACGGGGGGCCUAGAGGGAUGGCCGGGGCAGCGGUGGACCAGCGGUAG
rnacentral:rRNA from 1 species